CAUGAGAUUAGGACUAAAUUGUGUUAUUUUGCAAGGAGUUUGGUUUGAAAAGCAUUGGAAGCAAAGUUGAGUAUUUUCAGGCAUUUUGAAGUCAAUGGGAGCCAAGGAGAAGCUAAGAGGAUGGCUAAAACACUUCAAAAGGAGCCUAAGAGUGGUGUUUUCAAUGGUGUUGGUCAUUUGGGCAAACCAAAACAAAAGAGGAGCAAAAGAUCAAUGCAUUGCAAUUUUCGCUCAUUUCGACCACUGUUCGGUAUUUUGACUAUAUCUCAGCCUAGGAGUGUUGAAAUUAAGUGAUUCUUGUUCCAUU